AGCUCCAAUAGCGUAUAUUAAAGUUGUUGCAGUUAAAAAGCUCGUAGUUGGAUUUCUGGGUCAAGCUCCUGGUCCGCCGCAAUGCGGUGCCGACUGUGUGUAGCGUUGGCUCAUCCUUGUGGGGAAUGCAGUGUGGCGUUCAUUCGCUAGCUGUUGGAACCGCAUCUUUUACUGUGAAAAAAUUAGAGUGUUCAAAGCAGGCUUACGCUGUGAAUACAUUAGCAUGGAAUAAUAAGAUAGGACUUUGGUUCUAUUUUGUUGGUUGGAGGCCAAGGUAAUGAUUAAUAGGGAUAGUUGGGGGUAUUCAUAUUUAAUUGUCAGAGGUGAAAUUCUUGGAUUUAUGAAAGAUGAACUUAUGCGAAAGCAUUUACCAAGGAUGUUUUCAUUA
rnacentral:rRNA from 1 species